UACGAAGGGUGCAACGUUACUCGGAAUCACUGGGCGUAAAGCGUGCGUAGGCGGUUCGUUAAGUCUGCUGUGAAAGCCCUGGGCUCAACCUGGGAACUGCAGUGGAUACUGGCGGACUAGAGUGUGAUAGAGAUGGUGGAAUUCCCGGUGUAGCGGUGAAAUGCGUAGAGAUCGGGAGGAACACCAGUGGCGAAGGCGGCCAUCUGGAUCAACACUGACGCUAGGCACGAAAAGCGUGGGGAGCAAACAGG
rnacentral:rRNA from 1 species